CCUACGGGGGGCUGCAGUGGGGGAUAUUGGACAAUGGGGGGAACCCUGAUCCAGCGACGCCGCGUGAGGGAAGAAGGUUUUCGGAUUGUAAACCUCUAUCUUUGGUGACGAAAGAUGACGGUAGUCAAAGAGUAAGCUACGCCUAACUACGUGCCAGAAGCCGCGGUAAUACGUAGGUGGCAAGCUUUGUCGGCAAUUACUGGGUGUAAAGGGAUCGUAGGCGGGAAGACAAGUUGAAUGUUUAAACUAUCGGCUAAACCGAUAAUCGCGUUCAAAACUGUUUUUCUGGAGUAAAGUAGAGGCAGGCGGAAUUCCGAGUGUAGCGGUGAAAUGCGUAGAUAUUAGGAGGAACACCAGUGGCGAAGGCGGCCUGAUGGGCUUUAACUGACGCUGAGGCUCGAAAGCGUGGGUAGCAAACAGGAUUAGAUACCCUUGUAGUC
rnacentral:rRNA from 1 species